rnacentral:rRNA from 1 species
GCAAAACGCGAAGAACCUUACCUAGGCUUGACAUGCAUCUCUAAGCACGUGAAAGCGUGUGACCCUUCGGGGAAUUUGCACAGGUGCUGCAUGGCCGUCGUCAGCUCGUGUCGUGAGAUGUUGGGUUAAGUCCCGCAACGAGCGCAACCCUUGUGACUAGUUGCCAGCACGUUAUGGUGGGAACUCUAGUCAGACUGCCCAGAUCAACUGGGAGGAAGGUGGGGACGACGUCAGGUCAGUAUGGCCCUUACGCCUAGGGCUGCACACGUACUACAAUGCCCAGCACAAUGAGAACCGAGACCGCGAGGUGGAGGAAAUCUAAAAAACUGGGCCCAGUUCGGAUUGGAGUCUGCAACUCGACUCCAUGAAGUUGGAAUCGCUAGUAAUGGCGCAUCAGCUACGGCGCCGUGAAUACGUUCCCGGGUCUUGUACACACCG